rnacentral:lncRNA from 1 species
CUAAAUCCUCUCCUCGCAAUCAUCACUCUCCCACUCCCUUUCUCUCUCUCUCAUUUUCUCUACUGUAACUUUUUUUCUAUUUUUGGGGGGUUUUUUUUUCCUUUUUCACGUUCUUCUUUCUCUACCUUCUUACUUCUUGCUUCUUGUUCUUUCCUUUUGUUUUAUUGUAUUUUAUUUUCGUUCUCCCACUUCCUGUUUUAUUCUUCCAUCAUUCGUACGAUCAUUGUAGAGCAUCGUUGGAAUUGAACGUAAGUAAAUUCGGUGUAAGUAUCAUUACUUUUUGUGAAAGGGAUUUU